CCCACUCGCGGAGGUCGGGGCUGGCUUUGCGCCGCGCUUGGCCAGGCUGCUGGCCUAAGGGCGGAGACCGUGUGGCCCACGGACCCUUCUCCUGAGCGCUCCCGCGAGCGCAGCCCCGGGAGACGCGCUGGGCCGCGGCCCGGUGAUCCACGCGCGGGCCUCCGGGCGGCGGCACCUGGGAACGAGACGCCUCCCGGCUCAGGUGUGCGGAGCUUCUCCUCUCCAGCCCCGCCGCCCCGCGCGGACCCCACGGGCUCCACCACCGGCUGGGGAGCAAACCACCGGAAGACAGGGACUUGAGGGCCGCAGAGAAACUGGCCAAAAAAAGUGAAAAGAUUCACAAGGGACAAACAGUGGAGAUGAAAUGCAUGAGACAAGAACAUGGAUAGUCAUCACUGUGGCAAAUGGAGAAUAUCACACAAAACAAUACUAAUUCCUCAAUGAAUCACCAACUGGCCAGGAUUUAUCACAAUAUAUAACUCUAAUAUGGGAAAAAAUUGAAAAGAUCAUAACACUACACAUAACUUCACAAGCAACAGAUCUAGUGUUUGGUCUGAGUUCUUCUAGUUACCUUUCAAACCAGCUGACUCUGAUCACCUCUGGAAUAAAUCCUCAACAUAAUCUCCUUUAAAACAACUCCACUGACUGUCACUCACAGUAACUUCCAAAAGAUGACCUUUUAUAUUAUAUUCUACAUAUGCAACAUUAUGAAUUAAAUUCACUAUAUAUAUAUGCAAAAAGUCAGCAAUCAUUUCAAAGUUAUCAGUAUAUCUCAUUCCCUCUUCGAACAUAUGGGAACAAAUAGCAGUAACACAAAAAAAUUUUGUUCAUUCCCUCCUAAUUUAGAGGAAAACAGUAAUAAAAGCUCUAAAAUAUG